AGCGGCGGACGGGUGAGUAAUGCCUAGGAAUCUGCCUGGUAGUGGGGGACAACGUUUCGAAAGGAACGCUAAUACCGCAUACGUCCUACGGGAGAAAGCGGGGGACCUUCGGGCCUUGCGCUAUCAGAUGAGCCUAGGUCGGAUUAGCUUGUUGGUGAGGUAAUGGCUCACCAAGGCGACGAUCCGUAACUGGUCUGAGAGGAUGAUCAGUCACACUGGAACUGAGACACGGUCCAGACUCCUACGGGAGGCAGCAGUGGGGAAUAUUGGACAAUGGGCGAAAGCCUGAUCCAGCCAUGCCGCGUGUGUGAAGAAGGUCUUCGGAUUGUAAAGCACUUUAAGUUGGGAGGAAGGGCUCUCAGCGAAUACCUGGGUGUCUUGACGUUACCGACAGAAUAAGCACCGGCUAACUCUGUGCCAGCAGCCGCGGUAAUACAAAGGGUGCAAGCGUUAAUCGGAAUUACUGGGCGUAAAGCGCGCGUAGGUGGCUUGUUAAGUUGGAUGUGAAAUCCCCGGGCUCAACCUGGGAACUGCAUCCAAAACUGGCUGGCUAGAGUGUGGUA
rnacentral:rRNA from 1 species